rnacentral:rRNA from 1 species
AUUGAACGCUGGCGGUAUGCUUAACACAUGCAAGUCGAACGGCAGCAUGGUAUGUAGCAAUACAUACUGAUGGCGAGUGGCGGACGGGUGAGUAACACGUAGGAAUCUACCCUAAAGCGGGGGAUAACCCGAGGAAACUCGGGCUAAUACCGCAUAAUUUCUGAGGAAAAAAGCUAGGUUUACCUGGCACUUUAGGAGGAGCCUGCGUCUGAUUAGCUAGUUGGUGGGGUAAAGGCCUACCAAGGCGACGAUCAGUAGGUGGUCUGAGAGGAUGAUCACCCACACUGGGACUGAGACACGGCCCAGACUCCUACGGGAGGCAGCAGUGGGGAAUAUUGGACAAUGGGGGCAACCCUGAUCCAGCAAUACCGCGUGUGUGAAGAAGGCCUUCGGGUUGUAAAGCACUUUAGGCUGGGAAGAAGGUUAUUAGUUUAAGAGAUGAAUAACUUGACGGUACCAGCAGAAUAAGCACCGGCUAACUCUGUGCCAGCCGCCGCGGUAA